GAGCUGGCGGUUUCUGACUGCCAGCAUCGGAAUGAGAACAAUCUAAAUCUGUUAUCGAGCACCUAGCAGAGGGCAAGUCUGGUGCCAGCAGCCGCGGUAAUUCCAGCUCUGCAAGUGUAUAUCAAUGUUGCUGUGGUUAAAAGCUUCGUAGUUGGAUCUGUGUGACCAGGGUCCGGUCCGGCCUUUGUGUCGUGUACUGGUGCCCGUCACUUACCACUGCUGGUCUUGUCCUGAUGCGUUUAACCGCGUGUCAGUGGCUGGCUAGCGAGUUUACUUUGAAAAAAUUAGAGUGCUCAAAACAGGCGCUUUGCCUGAAUACUUCUGCAUGGAAUAAUGGAAGAGGACCUCGGUUCUGUUUGUUGGUUUUGGAGCAUGAGGUAAUGAUUAAGAGGAACAGACGGGGGCAUUCGUAUUCCGACGUUAGAGGUGAAAUUCUUGGAUCGUUGGAAGACGAACUACUGCGAAGGCAUUUGCCAA
rnacentral:rRNA from 1 species